UCCCUGCCGCCGGCGUGCGCGCCACCGCCACCACCUCCCACAGGCGCCAUGGUCCCUGCCGCCGGCGCGCGCCACCGCCACCACCUCCCACAGCCGCCGCGGCCCCCACCACCGGUUCGCGCCGCGCCAUCUCCACCUCCCACAGCCUCCAUGGCUCCGUCGCCAGGGCGCGCCCUGCCACAACUACCGCCGUUGGACGUCGUCGCCGUGCCCCCUGCACGCCAGCGCCUCCGAGACCUCGUCCGACAUGACCGUUGCAUCGCCUGAAUUGCCAAGCGCCGCCACCGCCCAGCUUCUUUCCCUGACCACGGCCGGCCUCCUGUGCCGGGCAAACCUCUUCUCUUCCUUCCGGGCGCAACCGCGAUCUCCUUCUCAGUUCAAAAUGAGCUCUAGCCGCUGUCCAAGUCGGCUCUCCUGCUUGGAUCCCUCGCCAGACCCGAUCCAGCUCUGCUGGCUGCUAUUGUUCUCUGUUUCUUCUCUGUGCGUGUGCGUGGGUGAUCCAAGGGGGUGGAGGAGGAGUGGGGAGUGAGGAGGGCGUGGGGCGGAUGGAUCCGUCGGGCGCGUUCGUGCGGAGCUCGAGAAAUGUGUUGCUGGCAUCGCUGGUGAGGAGCGGGACCGGCGGCAUCAGCGGGAGCGGGAGCAGCCGCGGGAGGGGCGGCGCCGGCGGGAGCCAGACAAUGGUGCGCCGGGUGCUCCACGGCGUCAUCACCUUCAUCUUCGCCAUCGGUACGGACGCUCUCCCCUCCCCUCCUCUGUUUUGCCUACACUGCUUCGAAUUUGGAUUUCUUCAGAUAUCUUCAAUUAGUGAGAUAAUAUUCUUGUGAAAUACGUACACCCUAGCUUCAAGCUCCAGUUCAUCCUGGCGAACUUCUAAGGGAAACAAGGGAGGAUAUUUCGAUGAUUUAGGCAUGGGGGUUCCUGCUCAUGUACGUACUGAGAGCAGGAUCCGAGCGGCGCUCUCCAAAUCUUAGCUCAAAGUUUCUGUUUCUGCUCCAUUUCUCAAUUCUUUGCUGGCAAUCUUUUUUAAGGAGUUACAGAUUCUUGAGUUGCAAAACCAAAGUUUGGUUUCCACUACUGAGAAGCAAAGUUUUGCUUCUAGCGAUUCAUUCAGACCCUGAGCAGAGUGUUUUCCCCUAAAUUAAGAGCGUGAUGUUUGUGCAAUUUGGGUUGAUCUGCUUCACAUACUGUGCAAUCUUAUUACUACUUUGUUUUUGAGAAACUCUAUGCAGACCACAAAGACUCAUGUUCUGAACAUUUGACAUGUGUAUGUGUGUGUUCCUGUGCAAGUCGAAUCCCAUUCAGGUCCAACUCCAUCACCUCUGCUUCACUGGUGAAAACAGUGCGACCCGAGGAACCACGGGGGGUCGAGGACGUCCAGCUCCGCAGUCCAACUCGGCGUGAUUCACAUCAUGGAUAGCCCCCAUGUAGCAGCCCACUGUGUAUUUUAUCAUCAGUUCGUAAAGAAAAGCUGAAUCAGUGCAGUGUGUGUGUGUUAAAAAAUAUAAAUCAGUUUAAUAUUGUAUGGUAGUUCAUUGUCCAGAAAUUUUGUCAUAGUUCCCGCUUUUCAGUCCAUCUACUUCCCGGUCACAAGUCCAAUUAGAAGAAAUUCAAAAUAUGAAAAAUAAUAUCCAUUUUGUUCUGGUAAUCAUCUUCAACCAAUUUGGUAUGUAUCAGACUUGCAUAUGUUGACUAGUAGGGUAGAUCUUCGUUGUAUAAGAAGCUAGAUGUUGAUUUGCAAUUAUGUUGUGACAAAAUUUUCAGUCAUCUUGAGUCUGUUGCCUUUAUCACUUUAGAUCCUUUUUCUUGUUGGUCCAGUGCAUGUCCCGCAAUGAGCCAGGACAGGGAAGUUGUUGGACACUGCCGUCUUCAUGGGCGCCUAGGUGGAUUAAGCGAAGAAACAUGAGCGUGUGGUUAAGCAUGAGAAAUGAGCAUCUGUAUUGCUCUUGGUUUAUCAAUUUGUAGAGCAAAACAUGUUGUCUAUAAGUCUAUGAGGAGUUUGAUAUUUACAGAGAAAGUCGACCCCUA